GCACCGGAGAAGUGUUUGUGCCGUUGGAGCUCGGGGCAUGCGCAGAUCACGGUGGGCGAGACUUUCAUUAACCCCACCGUGCUCAGGCCGCCCCGCUGCGGAGCUGCAGCCUCCAGGUGACUGACUGAGAUCAGGGCUCUUAUCGUACUGAGCAUGGCCCUGUUCUGCCAGGCACUGAAGAGACCCCAGUGUGGCAGAACCUAGAAUAUCCAUUAGCAGGGGAAAAUCCUGGGGGGAAUUGGCUUGUGGAAUGGACGAAAACCCCAUCUGAAUUCUCUCACAUUGCCCUUCUCGCCCUGAAUAACGUCCACGUCCGCUCCAGAUCAUCCCCUCCUCCCAUUGGGAAGGAAACAGCUGCGAUGGAGCUGGCUCAGGGGCCGGUGACCUUCGAGGAGGUGGCUGUGUAUUUCACCAGGGAAGAGUGGGC